AUUUAUCGCCAUAUCUAUCUGAAUGCACAGGUUAACGUCCAAACAUCGGCGUGAAGUAAUAUCGAAUCUGGUUAGUUCUUAGAUGGGUGAUCGCUUGGGAUAUUCAAGAGCUGUAAUCC
rnacentral:rRNA from 1 species